UAAUACGAGGGGUGCAAGCGUUGCUCGGAAUUAUUGGGCGUAAAGGGUAGGUAGGUGGUCUCGUUUGUCUGGGGUGAAAGCCUUGAGCUUAACUCAAGAAGUGCCUUAGAAACGGCGAGACUAGAGUCUUGGAGAGGGUCGUGGAAUUCCCGGUGUAGCGGUGAAAUGCGUAGAGAUCGGGAGGAACACCAGAGGCGAAGGCGGCGACCUGGACAAGUACUGACACUCAACUACGAAAGCGUGGGGAGCAAACAGGAUUAGAUACCCUGGUAGUCCACGCUGUAAACGAUGGGUACUAGGUUUGGUGGGUCUUGACCCCCGCUGAACCGGCGCUAACGCAAUAAGUACCCCGCCUGGGAAGUACGGUCGCAAGACUA
rnacentral:rRNA from 1 species